UGGGGAAUAUUGCACAAUGGAGGGAACCCUGAUGCAGCGACGCCGCGUGAGUGAUGAAGGAAUUCGUUUCGUAAAACUCUGUUCUAUGGGAAGAAAAGGACUGUACCAUAGGAGAAAGCUCCGGCUAAAUACGUGCCAGCAGCCGCGGUAAUACGUAUGGAGCGAGCGUUGUCCGGAAUUAUUGGGCGUAAAGGGUGCGCAGGCGGCUUUACAAGUUGGAUGUGAAAUAUUGUGGCUCAACCACAAACGUGCAUUCAAAACUGCAAAGCUUGAGUUAAGGAGAGGUAAGUGGAAUUCCUGGUGUAGCGGUGGAAUGCGUAGAUAUCAGGAGGAAUACCGGUGGCGAAGGCGACUUACUGGACUUAAACUGACGCUCAGGCGCGAAAGCGUGGGGAGCAAACAGG
rnacentral:rRNA from 1 species